CCUCAUGGCUGGCAUCAGCAGGGCCAUGGGGGAGGCAGUGGAGGAGGAUUUACAGUGAUGCCUCCAAGGUGUGUCCGGACGGAGGCCGGAGGCUGAGCACUUUAAGGGAACUGCAUUGUUUGGACGUCUGAGUAACCAGUGAGGGCUAUUGGAGCAUUGGUGUUGUGAGUUUCUGUGACCAUGUAAAUCACCUGCCAGGAGAGAGACACUAGCUAGUGUGAAGUGGCAAUCUGCAACUGAAGGUGUUACAUCCUGGCCACCAGGGAAGGUCCAUCGACACCAGAUGGACCAUUGUGAAACAUUAAAGAGGAAAACAGACUCUGUUGCUUUGCUCUGCUGUCCCCCAUGAAGAUGAGUCUUGCAAGUAGAUUCCUCCCAUCAGCCAAGUUUGCAGCUCAGAGUAUGGGGUGGAGGAGGAGGGAAUACCAACAGCUAAUAAGAAGGAACUGUAGCUCUGUUCCACUUGGACUCUGGAGGGCAAGGUUUUCCAGGCAUAAGCAAGGGAUCUCCAGCUGCUUAGCUUGUUAGUCCUAAAGAGCAUA